CGCUUCCGAAUCGCGCACGGUGCGCACCUUGAUCGUGACGUAUGUACGUACAUCACGCGUUUGGGAAGCAUCCGCGGGUCGUGUAAGUCGCGUUUUCCGCUGUCGAAAGCGCGACUUUCGUGUGCGUACAAUCAUCGGGGGACGACGAAUGCGUUUGCUGCGGGCUUGGGCGCUAAUUGAGACGUCGCACUCGGCGCGACGAUUACGAGCAAGGCGCCGCGCAAUGGAAAACCGGUGCGUUCGUUCACGCGGGCGGUUGCGCGUCGGUACGAAGUUACCCUCGAAAUUUUAACUCGCACGAGAGUCGGUCGAAAAACGCCUCGCAACGAUCAAAAUCCAAUCGUCUUUCACUCGUCCGAAAGCACGCUGAAAAAAUAUCGCCGGCGAAAGAAUCGAAAAGCAUCGGGCAUGCUCAUUAACAAACGCACACAUUCGUAUAAUUAAACGUCGCUUACGGGACGCGCGCGCGCGAUCAGCGCGGUCGCGCAAUAAUCUCGUCACGCGUCCCGUAUUAUUCGCAUCACGCUGAAAACGUUACGGUAAAAUCGAGCUCGCUCGCGGGAAAAAGUUUCGCUCUCGCAAAUGGACAACGCCGCGUUAUCGGUGCGCGUAAUUAGUCGUAAUUUUUUAAUCGGUUCGUAUAUCGGCGAGCGAGGCAUCGAGUGCCGGCCGAAUCGAGGUCGAAUCGGAAAAGAAACGAAAUUUGGCGACGGUGAAUCCGUCGACUGGCAAAAAAGGUUAAUAGCGACGUUACAGCGACUGGACCAAUCGGCGGGAGUGUGUCAAUUUGUCAACAGCCAGUGGUAAUACGGCCGAUUAAAUUCCAUGAUUACUCCAGUAUUUAUGGAUUGAGUGUGAAGAUAUCGGAAUCACCGGACUGAAUAAUCCGAACGAAAUAAAGAAAGCGUGGCUUUAUUAAUAGUGAAUAGUUACAUACGAUUUAUAUCGGGAGUGCCGUGUAAGGUAUCGUAGUGCGAUCGUAAUUGUAAUGCCGUGUUUUCGCGAAUGAGUGUGAAUGUAACGAGAAAUCUGAGAGGAGGCCUGGGGAGACAUCAAGCAACGAUGGAACAACUAUAAGAACAUCGUGUUACUACUCGUGAAGGAAGGCCCGCCGUGUUCCGCUAAUGUGUUGCGGUACGAUGCAAAAAAAGAUUAAAAACAAAAUUGGAUAAUCGGGAAGGAUAUUCCGUUCUAUUUCGUAUCUAUGGCUCCUCCUUUGGAAAUUUCUAGCGUUCUAUACGCUCCCAAGCGGUACGGUCGUAAUGAAGAGCUUGUAUACGACGUAGCCUUAGGCAUUGCGGGGAUGAGAUAACGGAACGAAGUCCUCCCCUGAUUUCCAAAGAGAUCGAACGAGCCGAGCGUUUAUUGACGAGCCUCUCACGUUGGUGAUUUUAAAUCUAAAUUUAUAGUA